UACGUAGGGUGCAAGCGUUAAUCGGAAUUACUGGGCGUAAAGCGUGCGCAGGCGGUUUUGUAAGUCUGUCGUGAAAUCCCCGGGCUCAACCUGGGAAUUGCGAUGGAGACUGCAAGGCUAGAAUCUGGCAGAGGGGGGUAGAAUUCCACGUGUAGCAAUGAAAUGCGUAGAGAUGUGGAGGAACACCGAUGGCGAAGGCAGCCCCCUGGGUCAAGAUUGACGCUCAUGCACGAAAGCGUGGGGAGCAAACGAGGAUACG
rnacentral:rRNA from 1 species